CUUCUGUGUGGAGUCCCGGAAACCGUUUGACUUCAGACGUUUGCUACAGUCACAACUUUCGUAAGAAGAUUUCUGGUCUGUUCUCUUACUUUCCAGCCUCCAAACAGGGACGCUUCAUCUCUGCAGCACUGGAUUUAAAACACGUCUGCAAAUUUUUGGACCAUCAGGAGGUGGAAACUAACCCUUCCCCUUGAAGAUGGUCUGGACUUCGAGAUGAACAGAAUGAGGUAAAAGUGAACUAGCCCCUAGAAAGCCAUCGCAUCUUGGCACCCCGACCCCCGGCCCCAAUCUCUCUCUGUCUUCUGGGGUGUUUGCUCUUGGAGAUGUGCCACCAUACUCUGAGGGAGCACCCAUCGUUCGGGGAGGCCAAGAGUAAUACUGCAGCUAGCAAUGAUAUGAAUGCUACAUGAUUAAUCCUGGCAGUGAAAUAUAAGCAGAGUGGGUGUAUUUCCUUUCCAAGCAAAACAAUGAACACCCCGUGUUUCUCUUUUCCUACAACAAAUCAGAGGUGCAUCUGGGGUGUAUUUACACGGCGCAGCUAUCUGACGGCAGUGUUUUCAUUUGUCUGGGUUCCUGAAUGAGUAACAAGCAAACACAUAUGCAAGUCCUUGACUCACGGACCCUUAAUUAUUAGGCUCUUAAAGGAAAUAUGUGGAAACGUAUAGGAAUGCAUAAAAAUAAAAAGUGUAGUCGAAAUAAAAAAUCUAGAGCCUUUCUUCCUGCUGGUUCAUCUGGCCAUACCCUUCUUAUUGUCUCUGAGACAACAACCUUGUGUGUUUGCUGAAAAAAAUGCAGGGCACUUAAAGCCAUUGAGGAAAUUGAUUUUUCUUCAUGAGCCAAAUUUUUCUUUUUAUAUUUUAUUUUCAUUUUUAAGUCUACAGAGAAGAUGAAUUACAUGUUAGACAGGUUUUCCAUCUUUUGGUACAUCUAAGUCGAGGAUAAAAAAAAAAAUGAAGAAUUGGAAUGUCUUUCCAUUGCCAGGAAUGGAAUUCAUUAACAUUUGAGAUUCACUAAUUCUAUUGAUCGGUUGCUGGAGGACUUGGUUUAAAUUGGUCCACUUCUACCUCUGAUGCGUAGGCAAGUGGGAAGCCACCAAAGCAGGAAGGAAUGUGUGACACUCUAUGUUUAGGGUGGACGAAAGAAUGGGCAGGGCCAGUGUCGCCUCUUUAUUCCAAUUUCUUCUUUUUCUUUUGUUCUUCCUUUUUUUUUUUGGUCUUUGCUGAGAAACCAGUUAUUUGAAUCCCCCUCACCGCACUCGCGUGGAACAUGUGAUUAGCAGGAGACCGUACAUUUGCCCUCAACCGCAUGCCUGCCAGGAGCAUCCAAACGAGCUUUGGCAUUGCUUCCAAUUUCUACGGGACUGACUUUUCAGCUCCAUUAAGACUGAUGACAAAGGAACUAUUUUUGGUGCCUCUAUGAAAGAAACACUCCGGAGCCUGUUAGUUUUCAGCCAUCCUGCUGUUCGAAGAGAAAAGUGCCAACAAAGCCACUGUUCUCAAACAGCACUGAAUUCUCUUACCGCUGUGGGUUUGCCCUUUAGUCUACCCACUUGGCCAAAGGUGCGGCUCAUCAAGGUGAAAGAGCCCUGCUGGUUGCCUCUCCAAACCAAGGGACCAAGGUGUGCUGCUCCUUUUGUUAUGCGCAGAUUAUGUAUCUUCAAAACGAUUUUUUGUCUUCAAGUGUUAAACAGGGGUGACAUUUUGGUAGCUCAUCAUGGGAGAUAGUUUGGAAACGCUCCCUCCUCUACUCUCAAUCUCUGCUCCCACAAACACACACCGGUGCAUAUUCAAAUUGAGGUUUGCCUAACUUCCCAGAGCAAGUGGAGAAAAAUCCCUAUGACCACAGACUAGUAAGACUUCUCACGCUCUCUCUGUAUACCCAUAAUUCAACAGCAUGUGCUUAAUAACAGUGGGCAAAACUGUAUCAUCUAUUAAUGAGGAAUAUGCAAGAGAGAGAAUGCAUGGGCCCAGAAACCCAGCGAGAAAAGCAUAAAGUUGGUGAGAACUGUCAGUGAGAGCGGAAUGGAUGCAUACGAAAUCUCUAGCAUGAUUCCACAGGAUGAUGUGAGAGGCACAAUGGAGAUAUAAUCUGGAGAAUACGUCAGUUGGAGAACAGAAGUUGAGGUAACGCAUGGUUUAAAAUUUGGAUGACUAAUAGAAGGUACUGUUUCAGAUAAAAAAAAAAAAAGACUAAUGGAAAGAGAUUAGAAAGA